UACGUAGGGGGCAAGCGUUGUCCGGAAUUAUUGGGCGUAAAGCGCGCGCAGGCGGCUGUGUAAGUCCGGUGUUUAAGGCCAGGGCUCAACCCUGGUUCGCACCGGAAACUGGACGGCUGGAGUGCAGGAGAGGGAAGUGGAAUUCCACGUGUAGCGGUGAAAUGCGUAGAGAUGUGGAGGAACACCAGUGGCGAAGGCGACUUCCUGGCCUGUAACUGACGCUGAGGCGCGAAAGCGUGGGGAGCAAACAGG
rnacentral:rRNA from 1 species